rnacentral:rRNA from 1 species
UACGUAGGGUGCAAGCGUUGUCCGGAAUUAUUGGGCGUAAAGAGCUCGUAGGCGGUCUGUCGCGUCGACUGUGAAAACCCGCGGCUCAACUGCGGGCUUGCAGCCGAUACGGGCAGGCUAGAGUUCGGUAGGGGAGACUGGAAUUCCUGGUGUAGCGGUGAAAUGCGCAGAUAUCAGGAGGAACACCGGUGGCGAAGGGCGGGGUCUCUGGGGCCGAUACUGACGCUGAGGAGCGAAAGCGUGGGGGAGCGAACAGG